rnacentral:rRNA from 1 species
UACGGAGGGUGCAAGCGUUGCUCGGAAUUAUUGGGCGUAAAGCGCGUGUAGGCGGCUUUGCAAGUCGGGUGUGAAAGCCCUCAGCUCAACUGAGGAAGUGCGCCCGAAACUGCAGAGCUUGAGUACCGGAGAGGGUGGCGGAAUUCCCCAAGUAGAGGUGAAAUUCGUAGAUAUGGGGAGGAACACCGGUGGCGAAGGCGGCCACCUGGACGGUCACUGACGCUGAGACGCGAAAGCGUGGGGAGCAAACAGG